rnacentral:rRNA from 1 species
UACGAAGGGUGCAAGCGUUACUCGGAAUUACUGGGCGUAAAGCGUGCGUAGGUGGUUUGUUAAGUCUGAUGUGAAAGCCCUGGGCUCAACCUGGGAACUGCAUUGGAUACUGGCUUACUAGAGUGCGGUAGAGGAUGGCGGAAUUCCCGGUGUAGCAGUGAAAUGCGUAGAGAUCGGGAGGAACAUCUGUGGCGAAGGCGGCCAUCUGGACCAGCACUGACACUGAGGCACGAAAGCGUGGGGAGCAAACAGG